UUCAACUUCAACUAACUACUAACUAAACUACAAACUACAAACUACCUUCUAGGCGUAGUUGCGUGCCUUGUAUAAUGUAGAUUUUUUGUCAUUUCUAGAAUUUCUACCAUAGAUAAAUAAUUCUACUUUUUGUCAUUUUUUUUUGGUUUUUGUUAUGGUAGGAUGAUGAUGCCACCAAGCACCCUGCACCAAGCCAAGCGUUUGUGUGAAGCUGUAAUCCUGUAAUGGCUUCUGCCGAGUUAAGAUUUUGUGAAUGUUAAGAACAGAAGCAGUGCCGUAACAAUGUCUGGAUACAUAUAAAUGGAUUUUUGGUUAUUAAGGAGAGCUUACAAACACCUCAUGGGAGUUUGAUUUUCAGCCUGCCACAAAAGCUUUUCUGCCGAAGAUGCAACUUUAAGUUUGGUCUUUUUAUCGGAUUGACACUGAUGAAUAUACAGUAGAUGAUAGGAUUAAAAAGCAGAAAUAGCCUCACGUGUUAAGAAAAAACGAGACAUUGGCGAAUAGUACUCAAAAUCCUAAUCUAAUGUAUAAAAGUAUUGUUAAUAUUAAAUGUUGUUUAUGUUGUU